rfam:Babjeviella inositovora NRRL Y-12698 unplaced genomic scaffold BABINscaffold_24, whole genome shotgun sequence.
CGCAGUAUAGUGUAAUUGGUAACACAAUAGACCCAUAAUCUGUUAUAAUUGGUUCAAAUCCGGUUACUGCAU